GCCUCUGUAGCUCAGUUGGUUAGAGUGCUGCACCGGAAUCGCAGGGCCGUACGUAGGUUCAAUUCCUACCAGAGGAC
rnacentral:tRNA from 1 species